rnacentral:misc_RNA from 1 species
AUGAGUUGAGUCCAAUUGGAAUUAGUGGUCCGAUUUGAUAAUCUAAUCCUAUUUAGCCCGCUUGUUAAGAAAAGUUAUAAAUUUUUUUUAUCAUUAGAUUCCAUCAAAUCUAAAGCCCGAACGCAUUGUUUUCGAUUUCAAAUUAUCCUUAAAAUCAGGAUUAUGCCAUUCAAUUUAAGACCCUCUCAACCAAAAUCGUUAAUCGGUAUGUGGCUAGGACUACUAUGGGCUACAUGCCAAAACACAAAAGUUGAAGGUCUCAAUUAAAA